rnacentral:rRNA from 1 species
UCAAAUUUGAAAUCUGGCCCCUCUGGGGGUCCGAGUUGUAAUUUGAAGAGGACACUUCGGGUGCGGUCGCGGUCUAAGUCCCCUGGAACGGGGCGUCGGAGAGGGUGAGAAUCCCGUCUGGGACCGUGGACCUGCCCCGUGUGAAGUUCCUUCGACGAGUCGAGUUGUUUGGGAAUGCAGCUCUAAGUGGGUGGUAAAUUUCAUCUAAAGCUAAAUACCGGCGGGAGACCGAUAGCGCACAAGUAGAGUGAUCGAAAGGUUAAAAGCACCUUGAAAAGGGAGUUAAACAGCACGUGAAAUUGUUGAAAGGGAAGCGCUGGCAGCCAGACAGGGACCCGGGGGCUCAGCGGGCAUGCGUGCCCGUGCACUCCCCCGCGGUCCCGGCCAGCAUCGGUUUCGGCGGCCGGUCAAAGGCCCCGGGAAGGUAUCGUCCUCCGGGACGACUUACAGCCCGGGGUGCAAUGCGGCCAGUCGG